AGGUUGGACAGCCGCGCGGCAGAAGCGAAAGGGUCUGCCGUGAGGAAAGUCCGGGCUUCACAGGGCAAGGAUAACGGGUAACGCCCGCCCAAGGCGACUUGAGGAAAAGUGCAACAGAGAUAUACCGCCGUGACUUGUCACGGUAAGGGUGGAAAGGCGAGGUAAAAGCUCACCCAUCGGCACGGAAGCGCCCGAUGCUGUAAACUCUAUCCGAAGCAACACCGUGGAGGAAGCAUAUGGUUGGCCCGACCGCUUCCGGGAGGUGGCUGGAGCGGCGCAGCAAUGCGCCGCCAAGAUAGAUGGCUGUCAAAACAGAACCCGGCUUAUAGACCUGAU
rnacentral:RNase_P_RNA from 1 species